UUUAACCCCCUCAGGCCGUUUCCCGCCUUUUUUGUGUGAGGGGAAAUCGCCUCAGGAGGUGCAAAAAAGUUCUUUCGCUCGGGACCUUGAGGAGGGGGCGGGUUUUGUUUUGCUCCCCCCUCGCAGACACCUUCGCGCGUGGGUUCUCUUUGGCCCCUUAAGACGGUUUCCCGCCCUUUAUUUCCCCCCACGGAGGGGGAAAAACCCACCCAAAACACCUCAGGAGGGAGAGAAAAGUCUUCGCGCUCGAGGAAAAGGCGCGCAUCCUGUCGGGAGGAUGGGCACAUUGUGGAGGCAGAAAGAGAGCUCUGAAUCCUACCCCUCGGAACUGACCCUUUGAAUCCACUGCAGACAGAAUCUGUCAACAGCCGUGAAUGCUAUCCUUGGGAAAAGGGAUAGCUAUAAAAGAAUAAAAUGGAGAAGGCAACAGUGAAAAAAAAAGUGGAUAUUUGUACGUAGUUAUUUCCUAUCUCCAAUCUGAUCUAGUAUAAGGCUGGUUUCCUACAGGCCAAUCUGAAUUAAAAUAUUGUUCAAGUAUUUUCAAAUAUUUCCUCCUGCCUAGCAAGCCCCUGUUGGUGCCCCCACAUGGCUUCCAGUUGUGAUGGAUUAGGCCCAGGCUGAACAAUCUGUUUUAAAAGAAGUUCUAAACUCCAUGGAGUUGUGGCUGGAGUCAUCUCCUGGACUGAAUAUUCAUUGCAGCCAAAAAGCACGUUAUUUCCCACCGUGUAAUGCAAGGUGACGAUAGAGGACAGGACAAAAGGGUUGAGAGUUGGUGGGUUUUUUUUCUCUUUUGAGCAGACAGAGAGCCAAUUAUAAGCUGGAGAGGAGUUCAUCUUCCACUGUUCUAGCAACAUUUUAUAGGUAUUUGCUUCAAACUUUGCAGAUGAGUUUAUGCAGCCUGUGUUUUGUUUAUCUUCCUUGUUGUUAAGAUACACAAGAUAUCUGCUUGAGUUUAAACUGAAACCAACUGUUAAAAGUACACACCAUGCUAACACAGUAAGAAAGUGGGGAAAAACCCAAAGAAAUGUGGGGGAAAACAAUCGAGAUAUCCUUUCACAGCAACAGCAUCAACCUAUAGUGGAAAGUAAUAUUGAUGUUCUUUUAAGCUACUGGUUUGUGAAGUUUCCUGAAAGAAAAUUCUCACCUAAUGUGAAGAGGGCGAACAUGGCAGUCUAAGGAGAUUUGGAGGCUUGGGUGCUCUUUAUACCUGCAGAGAAAUGGAGCAGAAUUAAAAUGCUGUGGAUGGGGAAGCCAACAAAAUUGCUGAGAAUUUUGGAAGUAUUUGGAAAUGGCAGCUCAUGCUUCCCAUCUGAGGUGCGUCUGUAAAUCCUUAAGGUUUUCCUGGAUGCAGGUAUAUAUUUUGAACUGCAAGCAGUGCACCCUUCAUGACAACCUCAAGAAGGAACCAAAAACACCAGCAACUAACAUUUCACCAACCCUCUGAUAUUUCACCAAUGAAAACUGAGACUAUGCAACAGGAGGAGGUGAUCAAGACAACAAAGGCAUAAAUGAAAAAUGAGGCUGCAGCCAUUAGCUUUGGCCUAAGUCUACAGAGAAAGGGCAAGAUCUCACCUCCUUGUUUCCUCUUAGUGAAUUUAGUGCAAACUACUUUUGGACUUUGAAUUCAAUUUGCAGCAAUGGAAAUAUACUGAGGACAAGGGAGGAGGAAGAGGCAAAAACUGGGAUAUAUUAAAAAAAAACUUAAAAUCGAGAAGGCAGAGGAUUAAUCAGACCUCUCCCUGCCAAAUUAAGACAAUUGGAGGGGAUGUUAUGCCUUUAUUGCACAGAAUUAACUACUAGUUUACCCAGUUUCCAUAUUGGGAGUGGGGAGCCACCUUGUCCCUUGCCUAAGGCUUUCCUCCUACAUAUCCAUGACACAUCUUCCCCUCCAACUUUGGCUGGAAUGAUUUCUGAAGAUUUAAGCAUCUGCAAGAACUUAAGGGCCAUAGAAGCAUCUCUCCCCCCACACACCCUAAAUUCUUUUUUUUUAAUGUGAAGACUCAAGACACAAUGUAAGCAAGCUGAAUGGGCCAUUAGCACCAAACUCGAAAGAUGUUGAGUCAAAUAGGAUAAAAAAAAGCGCCAUAAAUUUUUACAACUCCUUAGAGAGAAACACUGAUGAUUAAAACAUGAAACCUUGACUUUUCCAAAAAUGCUUAAAAGAUUAAUACAGAAAAUGUAGUGCCAAGGCUGCCGCAAGGAUUACGCUUAAUGGGAACGUUAAAAGUUAUUUUAAUGUAAAGCAAACAUGGCCAACCAUGGAAAGAUCAAAAGUGGAACCUGCAGGAAGAUCUGAGUUCCAGAAAAAGGAGAGUUGCUCAGGAACCAGCCAAAAGAUUAGAUAGUAUGAAUAAUACACGUUACUCUCUCCAAGUCAUGCAUUUUGCCCAUAGUGUGUCCCAAAAGCAGCUCCUUUUAGUUGUUACUCUAAUGCCAUCUGGAAAACUCAUUCUGGAUUCCUGGCCCAUGUCUUUCUCCUCGACAUGAACUACUUGUGGCCCUGAUUCGCUUUCAAUUUCUCUCCUGCUUUAGUUCAACUCUGGCGGAGCGUGUUGUUCUGCUCUGGUUAUGAUUGCUUUGGGGAGCUGAGCAUUCUGCUGUGCCUGGCGCCAUGAACAUGCACCGCAAAAAGUUUGUGCCAACAGCUUUGUUUGCAUCCCCAUGAGCCAUUUGCAGAAGGCAAUUUGUCCGUUGUGUUAUUUCAUUUGCAAUGGAUUCCUUGCCAGCCCUUGCAGCAAAGAGACACCUCAUUCCAGGAGAACCCUGGCACACGGCACAAAGUUGCCAAGUUGAAAAGCAAUAAAUUGAUGUACAAAUUGGAUUGGCAUCUCUCGCUUCCUUUUGGCUCCACCCUUCGCUUGCCAACUAACCAUGUAGCUGUGGAUCUAACACAGUUGUUUCUGUUCCCUUCAAGAUGCUAGAGGCUAAUACAACACUUUGAAUGCUUUUUUUUUAGGUGCUUCUGUCCCUAUUUACAUCACCCCAUCUUUAUAACUUUGCUCAUAAAAGGGGACUCAGUUCACAAUGGGAUCUUCCAAAAUGGUGUAGAAAAGUGUGAAUUCUUAUC